AUUGAACGCUGGCGGCAGGCCUAACACAUGCAAGUCGAACGAGUGGCGGACGGGUGAGUAAUGUCUGGGCAACUGCCUGAUGGAGGGGGAUAACUACUGGAAACGGUAGCUAAUACCGCAUACCAUCGGAUGUGCCCAGAUGGGAUUAGCUAGUAGGUGGGGUAAAGGCUCGCCUAGGCGACGAUCCCUAGCUGGGCUGAGAGGAUGACCAGCCACACGGGAACUGAGACACGGUCCAGACUCCUACGGGAGGCAGCAGUGGGGAAGAUUGCACAAUGGGCGCAAGCCUGAUGCAGCCAUGCCGCGUGUGUGAAGAAGGCCUUCGGGUUGUAAAGUACUUUCAGCGGGGAGGCGGUACCCGCAGAAGAAGCACAGGCUAACUCCGUGCCAGCAGCCGCGGUAAUAC
rnacentral:rRNA from 1 species